AAAAGAAAAAAAAGGGUAUGGAUAUGUGUUUGUGUAUAUGCAUGACACCUAAAACACAUAUAGAGGAACCUCAUAGCAUCUUUUCUUGACAAAUUCAUUUAUACCAAAAGGGUUGAAGGAUAACAAAAAGAACAUCAAAUAGCUCAUCAUGGGAUGAAUCUCUUCCUUACUCAAAAAAAAAAAAAAUACUCAGUCACUCACUUAAUUUUAUGUUAGCUAAAAUUCAUUUGCAGCAACAAGGUUGAGUUUCUUGAUAAGAAGAGGAACAAGAAAUUAAUUUAAAGAUGGAUGGAGGGUCAUCAUCAGCUAUGUUUCUUGCAAUGAGGGAAGAAUUACAAAAUCAACAUGAGAUGAAUCAACAAGGAAUUUUACUUCAUCAUCAACAGGCUCAAUCCUCAACCAUGGCUCAAUCUCAAGCUCAAGCAACAACAAAGAAGAGAAGAAAUCAACCUGGAACACCAAAUCCAGACGCAGAAGUGAUAGCAUUAUCACCAUAUACCCUAAUGGCAACAAACAGAUACUUAUGUGAGGUAUGCAACAAAGGAUUCCAAAGAGAACAAAAUUUACAACUCCACAGAAGAGGACACAAUUUGCCUUGGAAGCUAAAGCAAAAGAAUCCAAAUGAAGUAGCAAAACGCAAGGUGUAUCUUUGUCCAGAACCAACAUGUGUUCACCAUGAACCUAGCAGAGCACUUGGUGACCUCACUGGGGUUAAAAAACAUUACUUCAGAAAACAUGGUGAGAAGAAAUACAAGUGUGAGAAGUGUUCAAAGAAGUAUGCUGUUCAGUCUGAUUGGAAAGCACAUAGCAAAACCUGUGGCACUCGUGAGUAUAGAUGUGAUUGUGGCACUCUUUUCUCAAGGCGUGACAGUUUCAUCACACAUAGAGCCUUUUGUGAUGCCCUUGCUCAAGAAAGUACAAGAAAUCCACCCACCCUGAGUGCCAUUGGCAACCAAUUCUUAUAUGGAAAUAGCAACAACAUAAAUUUGGGCUUGUCCAAAUUGGGUUCCAGUAUUAACAACACAAAGACUAAUGGUUGUCAAUUUGAUAACAACCUCAUUAUUGGAACACCCAUUGGCUCUUCUUCUUCCUUUUUCCUUCAAGAAUCAAAUCAAGAUUAUGCCAACAUGAAGCCAAUGGUCCAUGGCCUAAUGCAACUCCCUAAUCUUGAUCAGAACAAUAAUAAUACUCCUAGUAUGUUUGGCCUCAAUUUUUUCCAGAACAAUAGCAGCAAUAUUGGUGUUGGCAAUAGCAAUAAUUUGUCCACAAGUGGUAUUUUGGGUGAUCACAAUAAUAUUAGUUGUUCAAUGCCUUCACUUUAUGGCUCACAAGUUGAGAAUAGUAGUACUUGUUCAGCUGCACCAGUAAUGUCAGCCACAGCACUUCUUCAAAAGGCAGCUCAAAUUGGAUCUACUACAAGUAAUAUUAGCACCAAUGCUACAUUGCUCAAAGCCUUUGGAAGUACUAAUACUGGUAUAGAUGGUUCAUCUUCUAGUGGCACAAAAUCUGAUCACCAAGCUCUCAACUGUGGCAAUGACAUUUCAGAUGGUGUAAUGAAUGCUUAUGGAGGUGGAUCACAAGGGUACAAUACAGCAACCAAGUUAAGUUUUGAGCAGCAUCAACCACCUCAGAAGAAACAAUUAACCAGAGAUUUCCUUGGAGUUGGAGAGAUAGUAAGAAGUAUGAGUGGAGGAUUUAGUAGCCAAAGAGAACAACAACAACAACAACAGCAGCAUAAUGGAUUGAACAUGAUGAGCUCAUUAUUUGAUCCAGAGAGAAAUCAAAGCCAGCUGAGUUUUGGAAAUGCUGGCAAUUUUCAAUGACUUGUUCAGGAGAAAAGGUAAAAGUUAAAUGAAGAAAGAAGGAAAGCACAGGAAAGUACAGGGUAUGCAUGUAUGUUUGGAAGGAGGAGAAUAUUAAGCAUGAAGCAGAUAGCUGUAAUUUGAAGUUUUUUUUCCAAGGUUUUAGCAGACAAUUAGAAAACUUGCUUCAGGGGAUAGCUUUAGAAAACCAAAAAAAAAAGAACUUUCUUUGUUAUUAUUUUUUUUUCUUUUUACUCGUUAAGACCUUUUUUUGUCCUUUUGGUUGUUGUGUUCUAUAGUUUUGACCCUAUUUCUUUAGUCCUUUCUUUUUGGUUUUCGAACUGUUCUGGAAAAUAGGACAUGACACAGACAAUAUAUAGCUUUCUUAAGAAACUCUUUACAUCUAGAUGACUUCAAUCCUUGUUUAUAAAUUUGAUCAUCAGAUGACAUAUCUAGACGAAUGUUUUUAUAACGUUUUAA